ACCCACUGCGCCACCCAAGCACCCCUGAUUUUUUUUUUCUUUUCCUGAAUUUGAUUCCUGCUAAAGUUCAUUUUAUUGGUUUUCUGCCACAAUUCCAGUCUGUUGAGGUAUUUUUGAAUAGUGAGUCCUCUGUAUUAGCUGUCACUUCUAGUUUGGUGCUGCAUAAACUGGGUAAGGAUGUCUUCAUCCAGGUAAAAUAUAUGACAGGCCUUCAGUGGGGCAUCCAUCCCUUAGUUGAUCCUGCUGACUCAGGAACAAAGCAUUUUUUGAGUAAGAUUCAAGUACCAUUCUUCAAUCCAGACUUUUAGUAGGAGAGAAAGGGAAAUCCCUGUGCUUUAAAAAAAAAAAAAAAAAUUGGUAAAAAAUAAUGAAGGAAAAAAAGGCAUUAAGUUCAAGUAUAUGCAAAAUAUACAGUAGGUUGUCUAAGGUUUAUUUAAAUAUUAUUGGCUAUAGAUUCCUUUUAUGAGGGUGUUUGUGGGGAAAUCCUACUUAACACCCACUCAGCCUAUUUUCUUUUCUUUUUUAACAUUUAUUUAUUUUUGAGAGAGCGAGAGAGAGAGAGAGAGAGUGUGAGCAGGGGAGAGACAGAGAGAGGGAGACACAGAAUCCGAAGCAGGUUCCAAGCUCCACACUGUCAGCACAGAGGCUGACAUGGGGCUUGAACUCACAAACCAUGAGAUCAGAACCUGAGCUGAAGCCAGACACUUAACCGACUGAGCCACCCAGGCUCCUCAGCCUGUUUUCUUUUUAAAGCUGCUGUUUGUUUUGGAGUCACUGCUAAUGCUCUCAGAGCUCUGUGACAGUAGUGGCCUUUUUGGCAUCCCAGAGAAUGUUAGUUGUGGGACAAAUGAGAGAACUGUAUACUUUGAAGGCGGAGAGAGAACCAGUUCAUGCUUUUCAUGUGGGGUACGGUGCAAUUACUUUUACUGUUACCACCACUGGGUUGUUUGGGUCACUUUUGCUUCAGCCUCCUUAAACCAGUAAUUUCCACUGCUUGCUGUGCACUAGAAUCAUCUGUGGAGUUAAAAAAGAAAAAAGCCCAUGUUUCCUUCACAACAGCCCUCCCCCCACCAAUUCUGAUUUGAUAGGCCUGGGGCAAAGAGGAGGAUCCCAGAGUGCACAGCCCAGGUGAGAAUGGCCUCUGGACGUCAUUUGGUUCCCCUCUAAGUUCUUAAUUUCUCCUAUCUUCCACAAGGUCACCUGUUUUAAAGAUGACCUCUCCCUCAGUGUUCUAAGUCUUAGACACUGCUGUACUGCCAGUGCCAGUAUUUCCUCCUUCUCUCCACCUCUUUUCCUGGGAAUGCUUCCAUAUCCAAUCUCUGGACUUCCUUCCUUCCCCUUUUCCAUCAGGUGAAGCACAAGUCUUUUUGGGAAUCUUUUUCAUUGAACAGCUCUGUUAUCCUUUCCUUUCUUAAUACCGCUUCUUUCCAGAUUGACUUGUAGCAAACUCGCAGUUCAAGCCGUUAACAAAAGUAGUUACAAAAGUCCUGUUACUUACAGUACAGUGUCUGCCUCCAGAUCAGUAUAAUGAGUCUGGUUAAACUAAAGCAAACCAGAGUAUGGUAAAUGAAAUCUACAACCCUUCUUGAUUAUACAUAUUCAAAAUAUGAGAAUAAAAAUGUAUGUAUGGGGGUGCCUGGGUGGCUCAGUCAAUUAGGUGUUGGACUCUUGGUUUCGGCUCAGGUCAUGAUCCCAAGGUCCUGGGAUCAAGUCACACAUUGGGCUCCGUGUUGGGCAUGGAGCCUGCUUGAGAUUCCUCUCUCUCUCUCUCCCUCUCUCCCUCUCUCCCUCUCUCCCUCUCUCCCUCUCUCCCUCUCUCCCUCCCAGAGCCCCCACUUCCUCUCUCCCCGCUCCUUCCCUCCCCCCUCCUUCCCUCCCCUGCACAUGUACACACGCUCUCUCUCUAAAAAUAAAAUGAAAAAACAAUUUUUAUGUAUGUGUUUUCAUUUCAAAAGCUGUAGUAGAAAUGCAAGAAAAGGGGCGCCUGGGUGGCUCAGUCAGUUAAGCAUCCCGCUCUUCGUUUUUGGCUCAGGUCAUGAUCUCACAGUUUAUGAGUUUGAGCCCCACAUUGGGCUCUCCUUGGAGCCUGCUUGGGAUUGUAUCUCCCUGCCCCUCUCCCGCUUGCUCGUGCGUUCUCUCUCUCUCUCUGUCUCUGUCUCUGUCUCUUGCUUGCAAAAGAGAUAAAUAAACUUUAAAAAAAAUGUAGGAAAAUACAGCUUCCAUGUUGUCACUCCUUUAGGGGGAUCUUUUUUUUUUUUUUAAUUUACCAAGUUAGUUAGCAUAUAGUGCAACAAUGAUUUCAGGAGUAGAUUCCUUAGUGCCCCUUACCCAUUUAGCCCAUCCCCCCUCCUACAACCCCUCCAGUAACCCUCUGUUUGCUCUCCAUAUUUAAGAGUCUCUUAUGUUUUUGUUCCCCUCUCUGUUUUUAUAUUAUUUUUGCUUCCCUUUCCUUAUGUUCAUCUGUUUUGUAUCUUAAAGUUCUCAUAUAUAUGAGUGAACUCAUAUUUGUCUUUCUCUGACGAAUUUCACUUAGCAUAAUACCCUCUAGUUCCAUCCAUGAAGUUGCAAAGGAGGAACUUUUUAAUUUAUUGCCAGCCUUAUUUAUGCUUUGGCAGGAAAUAAUGCAGCUUGAUAUUUAAAGUAGAUUGUGAAUUAAGAAUAUAUGAUUUAUUUUUAUAAAUUAUACCAAUUAUAAUUAUACAAAUGUACCCAUGAUUCAUUAUGUUAUUUUAGAAAAGUCACUCAAGAGCAAAAUAUUUUAAAUAGGUUAAACUUAGAGCAUAACAUGGACCCAUUUACAGAAAAUUGAAAAUUGGGCACAAAUUAGGCCUUUGGGAAAGAAUCAUAACAGUAACAGUAGCAGCCAGAGUCACAACCCCAUACUGUUUGUCAUGUGCCAGGUACUAUUCCAAGCCUCCCACAUAUCCAGCUCCCUUAACUGGGUGGGUACCAGAGUCCCAGGAAGGUCACGUCACCUAGACCUGGUCAUUGCUAGAGCCAGGCUAGGGCCAGGUAUCAUGCUCCAGAGAUCAGAUUUUUAAUGACUGUGCACACCACCUACAUCACACAUUGCCUGUUUCUCAUGUCAGACCCGUGACAUAGCUAUUUUUAUCUAUAUUUUGCAGAUGAGCAGGCUGAAGUUUUCUAACAUUCUGUAGCUUAUUCAGUCAUCCAAUGAGGAAGCAACUGCACUGGUGUUAGAACCUAAAGCUCUAACUUCAGAUAGUCUUUUUCCACCAUGUCCCUUUGGAAGGAAUCAGGCCCAGCACCUUCCAUAUGGGAAGGACAGCAAAGGAGCAUACUGAAGUUCAGCUUGCAUAUGGCUCCAUGCCCAACGUGGGGCUUGAACUCAUGACCCAGAGAUCAGGAGUCACGUGUUCUACCAACUGAGCCAGCCAGGCGACCCUGCAGACUACAUUUUCUGAAUGAAGAGCAGUAAAAAUAGAAACCAAUAAAAAUAGAAAUAAAAGUACAAACAUGUGGAACUUAAAACACAGAAUUCAUAGGUUAUUUAUUAAAAUGCAAACCAAAAUUGGAAUAUAUCUAGGCGUAUUAACACUAAUAAACUACAUAUCAGAACCUAAAGAAUACUGCUUUUGAUGCUCAAGAAAAUUUGUAGCUUUAUUUUUUUAUUUUUAUUAAAAAAAAAUUUUUUUUUAACAUUUAUUUAUUUUUGAGACAGAGAGAGAGCAUGAACAGGGGAGGGUCAGAGAAAGAGGGAGACGCAGAAUCUGAAACAGGCUCCAGGCUCUGAGCUGUUAGCACAGAGCCCGACGCGGGGCUCGAACCCACGGACCGCGAGAUCAUGACCUGAGCCGAAGUCGGAUGCUUAACCGACUGAGCCACCCAGGCGCCCCGAAAAUUUGUAGCUUUAAACACUUUAUUAAACAAGAAAGAAUGACUAUGAAUACAUUAAAUAUUAAACUAAGAAGAGCGAACAAAAUCUUGGGAAGUAUUAAUAAUAAUGUAAGGAACUAAUAAAGGCAGGAAUUCACGAAUUUGAGAAACAGAAGAAAAGAGAAAUCUAAAGCUUUGGUUUUUGUUGUUAUUUUUGAGGGGGGAUGAAAAGGGAGGCAAUAAAAAAGAUAAACCACCUCAUUACUUUAGGGAACUUAGUGGGAGAAAGGGAGAGAAAAUACCAAGUAUGGAAUGAAGGGCAUGGAAAAGACUAGA